CUCUACUGGAGGGCUUGGCAUCCCGUCUGCAGGAUGGGGUCAGGGGCCUGGCAGGCUGGGCUGUUUGGCUGGGUGUGGGGACACUCCUGUUCAUCAGCAUGUCUCUCUCCCUAGACCAGCAAGGCCAUCUCCAAAGGGGACUUCCGCCUGGCCAGCACCACCUCCCGCCGGGCCCUCUUCCUAGCCACACUCGCCAUCGCCGUGGGGGCCGGUCUCUACGUGGCUGUGGUGGUGGCUCUGGCAGCUUACAUGUCCCAGAACGGUCAUGGCUAGUAGCCAGUAGGGCCUGCAUCCUGACUCCCCUGCCCACCUGAGGAAGCAGUGGGGCUUGGAGUUGCAGACCCUAUGGAAAGGCCCGGCCCCUGAAGAUGAUCCCGUGAGAGUGGCUUGCUGAGGGGGAGACCCCCAUUCCACAGCCUGCAGAGCUCAGCCUUCACUUCUGCUUGCCCGCUGCUCCCAGCCCCAGAGCAGGGCCCGGGGCGCCACUCUCUAACCCAGGCUACAGACGGGAAACAGAAGGCAGGGCUGCCCACCAGGCCAUCCCAGCAGGGCCUAGCUCCAUCCAUUCUGCCCAUUCCCUAGAGGAUCUCCUGCCCUACAGCCAGCCCACCACCUACCCUGCCAACCUCCCCACAGAGAAAGAGCAGGAGGUUACAGGGAGAAAAGGGGGUGCCCAGAGCACAAGGGGACCCGUCCCAAUCCUUUCAGCCCACAGGGAUCUUCACCUGGGGACAGCCUGAGCUUCCCCCAACUCCACUGUCUGGCCCCAUCAUGCCCAGACCUCAGCAGGCCAAGAAGGAAAUACGUGGAGGCAAGGGGGCCUCUUGCUGUCUCUGAUUCUAGAGGGUGCUUAUCUCUGCAUGGGCUUGUGAGGCACUGUAGAUUCUAGAUAGGGAAGAGGAGCCUCGGUAUGUAAACUCUGAACCAAGGGCAGGUUCUUGGAGCUUCUUCAUGCGGGUGCAAAAGGCAGUUGCAAUGACAGAGAAUAGAGGGUCCUGAAAUAUUGCUGUACUACAUGACUCUUCCUACUCUCCCCCCACUCCCCGCCCCUAUCAUCCUUUUCUGGGCUUUGCCUGGGGGUCCGUGAGCUGGUGCCAUCACAAGUAGACUAGACCCAGAGAGUGCCCUCAGCUCACCAGCCACUGAGCGCACGGCCCUAGGUCCAGCCCUACAGAAAACGCAGCAAGGAGAGACCCUAGGGAGUAGUGAGUAUAGAUGAGGGAAGGGACUCAGGGAAGGAAUGGCCUGCUGAGUAGUCAGCGGUGCUUAGGAAGGCUUCCUGGAGGAGGUAUCCCUUGAGCAAGUCCUAGGAUGAAUAGAAUUCAUCUAAGGGAUUUGGUCACAUAACUCUUUGUAUUUGUAGGCAGGGAUGUGGCAGGAACCUUCCAUGGGAAGCUUCCAGGCUGUUUGGAUUCUGCCUGGAACAUCUGGGCUGGAGCCAAACUACAGCCAUUCCUAAGGGUUCUGCCAACUCAAGGAGGAACGUCACACCUGUCUCUCAAAGACCAAUGAUGUUUUCCCAUCUCUGAAUGCUAGGGGGUCAGUGGUGGGUACCUGGUUACCCCUGGGGCAUCUUCACUGAUAUCUCUGCUCAGUGCCAGUCUCAACACCCUCAGCCACUAGGGCACAUCCAGAAUUUUAGAGACAUCUCCAGGUAGGCGGGGGGCAGCACCAAUGUGGGCAGGCCUGUCUGGACUCAAGCUACAGGCCCCUGCUGUGCAUGAUGUGGGAACCUGGUCAUUCCCAUGCCCCAUCCAGAGCCCAGGGCUGUGGCUCCACCACUGAGCAUCCCUUGUCCCACUGUCCUCCCCUGCCUCGGGCACUGCCCAGCCCUCCACUCCUGCAUCACAGCAGUUUUAAGGUCCCAUUAUUGUACUGAUUUAUCCUUGUAAUAAAUGUUUCUGUAAC
rnacentral:lncRNA from 1 species